UGGGGAAUAUUGCACAAUGGGCGCAAGCCUGAUGCAGCCAUGCCGCGUGUGUGAAGAAGGCCUUCGGGUUGUAAAGUACUUUCAGCGGGGAGGAAGGGAGUAAAGUUAAUACCUUUGCUCAUUGACGUUACCCGCAGAAGAAGCACCGGCUAACUCCGUGCCAGCAGCCGCGGUAAUACGGAGGGUGCAAGCGUUAAUCGGAAUUACUGGGCGUAAAGCGCACGCAGGCGGUUUGUUAAGUCAGAUGUGAAAUCCCCGGGCUCAACCUGGGAAAUGCAUCUGAUACUGGCAAGCUUGAGUCUCGUAGAGGGGGGUAGAAUUCCAGGUGUAGCGGUGAAAUGCGUAGAGAUCUGGAGGAAUACCGGUGGCGAAGGCGGCCCCCUGGACGAAGACUGACGCUCAGGUGCGAAAGCGUGGGGAGCAAACAGG
rnacentral:rRNA from 1 species